GUUUCUGUAGUGUAGUGGUUAUCACGUUCGCUUCACACGCGAAAGGUCCCUGGUUCAAAACCGCUCGGAAACA
rnacentral:tRNA from 1 species